rnacentral:rRNA from 1 species
AGUGAACGCUGGCGGCAGGCCUAACACAUGCAAGUCGAACGGCAGCACAGAGGAGCUUGCUCCUUGGGUGGCGAGUGGCGGACGGGUGAGGAAUGCGUCGGAAUCUGCCUAUUUGUGGGGGAUAACGUAGGGAAACUUACGCUAAUACCGCAUACGACCUACGGGUGAAAGUGGGGGACCUUCGGGCCUCACGCAGAUGGAUGAGCCGACGCCGGAUUAGCUAGUUGGCGGGGUAAAGGCCCACCAAGGCGACGAUCCGUAGCUGGUCUGAGAGGAUGAUCAGCCACACUGGGACUGAGACACGGCCCAGACUCCUACGGGAGGCAGCAGUGGGGAAUAUUGGACAAUGGGCGCAAGCCUGAUCCAGCCAUGCCGCGUGUGUGAAGAAGGCCUUCGGGUUGUAAAGCACUUUUGUCCGGAAAGAAAUCCAAUCGAUUAAUACUCGGUUGGGAUGAUGGUACCGGAAGAAUAAGCACCGGCUAACUUCGUGCCAGCCGCCGCCGUAACAC